UCGAGCUUGCUGGGCGGAUUAGUGGCGAACGGGUGAGUAAUACGUGAGUAACCUGCCCUUGACUCUGGGAUAAGCCUGGGAAACUGGGUCUAAUACUGGAUACUACCUCUUACCGCAUGGUGGGUGGUGGAAAGGGUUUUACUGGUUUUGGAUGGGCUCACGGCCUAUCAGCUUGUUGGUGGGGUAAUGGCUCACCAAGGCGACGACGGGUAGCCGGCCUGAGAGGGUGACCGGCCACACUGGGACUGAGACACGGCCCAGACUCCUACGGGAGGCAGCAGUGGGGAAUAUUGCACAAUGGGCGGAAGCCUGAUGCAGCGACGCCGCGUGAGGGAUGACGGCCUUCGGGUUGUAAACCUCUUUCAGUAGGGAAGAAGCGAGAGUGACGGUACCUGCAGAAGAAGCGCCGGCUAACUACGUGCCAGCAGCCGCGGUAAUACGUAGGGCGCAAGCGUUGUCCGGAAUUAUUGGGCGUAAAGAGCUCGUAGGCGGUUUGUCGCGUCUGCUGUGAAAGCCCGGGGCUCAACCCCGGGUCUGCAGUGGGUACGGGCAGACUAGAGUGCAGUAGGGGAGACUGGAAUUCCUGGUGUAGCGGUGAAAUGCGCAGAUAUCAGGAGGAACACCGAUGGCGAAGGCAGGUCUCUGGGCUGUUACUGACGCUGAGGAGCGAAAGCAUGGGGAGCGAACAGGAUUAGAUACCCUGGUAGUCCAUGCCGUAAACGUUGGGCACUAGGUGUGGGGGACAUUCCACGUUUU
rnacentral:rRNA from 1 species